rnacentral:rRNA from 1 species
CUAACCGUAAACGAUGACAACCAGCGAUUAGUCGGUGUUAAUAUACGACCCGACUAGCAGCUUCCGGGAAACCAAAGUUUUUCGUUUCCGGGGGAAGUAUGGUUGCAAAGCUGAAACUUAAAGGAAUUGACGGAAGGGCACCACCAGGAGUGGAGCCUGCGGCUUAAUUUGRCYYAAMMCGGGAAAACUCACCCCGGCCCGGACACCCGUAAGGAUUGACAGACUGAGAGCUCUUUCUUAAUUCGGUGGGUGGUGGUGCAUGGGCCGUUCUUAGUUGGUGGGAGCGAUUUGUCUGGGUUAAUUCCGAUAACGAACGAGACUCUGGCCUAUUAAAUAGUCGGUAUAUCCGGAAAAGUUUACCGUACUUCUUAGAGGGACAAACGGCGUCUAGCCGCGUGAAAUAGAGCAAUAACAGGUCUGUGAUGCCCUUAGAUGUCCGGGGCUGCACGCGCGCUACACUGAAAGAAUCAGUAUGCGCUUUAACCUAGUCCGGAAGGAUUGGGUAACCCGAGCAAAUUCUUUCGUGCUUGGGAUAGGGAAUUGCAAUUAUUUCCCUUAAACGAGGAAUUCCCAGUAAAUGCGGGUCAUAAGCUCGCGUUG